ensembl:lncRNA
ACACACCAUUCAUUCAUUUAUUCAUUCACUCAACAGUGACUGGGCUCCCGCCUGCCACAGGGCACUGUGCUCUGCUCCAGGGCACGGCCUCUGCCCCUGGAAGCCGUGUGGCUCUCGUGGAGCAGAGCUCCCUGAACGACACCUUGAGGAGCCCCUAUGACACAGAAGAGCAAGGUCCCAAGUGACCCACAUUUUUAUUGCACUGAUGGCCCUGCAGGAAGUGAGGGACAUCUCCAAGGGACAAGGAAGCGAGUCAAAGCCUGAGAGUGGAAGUUGGCGUGGGGAAGGCACAGGUGUCUUGGGGACGUCAUGGGGGGGAACUGCUCCUCUGAGUGAGCCCACAGGAAGAAUUUGCUUCAUCCCCAGAAAGGGAGAGGGGAGAAGGGAGAGCCGGGAACCAGGGAGAGGUGAGGGGCUGCGACUCUGCGAGGUGAAGGACCUGAGAUGCUCAGGGGGCACGACAGCAGGGCUGCCCUCUGCCAGGCUUCAGGGGUGUUCUGAGGACUGUGAAGAUGCCUGGAUUUUACUAAUCCGUCAGUGCAGAGUAAAAGAGAGGGGCCCUGGGGAAGCCAGCCCUCCCUCCCUGUCUACCUCCCGCCCCCUCACAAGUCUGAAGUCACAGGAACCUGGGGGAGGGGCACGGGUGCCCACAGCCCAUGGAAUUGGCACGGGUUGGAGUGGUCUAUGGGGCUAAAUGGUUUUGUACCCAAAUCUCCAGGCCAGGAAGGAUGGAGUCCACAGCUGGGUGAUGCAGCGAGGUCAUCGCUUCGGUUCAUCUGAAAAAUUCACUGCAGAGCCAUCACAUCCCUGCCCGACGUGCCGAAGAACCAGCUCUUCCUAAGCUGUCCUGCUCUUCUCCGGGCUCUCCACCGUAGUCCUCUGCCCGUGGGGUGUUCUCACAGGGAGUCACAUGGGGAAACAAAGGUCAUCUUUGCUUUGCUUAGUCCUCUUAGAGGAAGAAUAGAAUAUUUCACCUGUUGCAUUUUAUAACAAUGGCCGUAGCAGAGCAGAAACAGAACCAGCUGCUGAGAAGCAUUUCGAACGCCUUCCCAAAAAUAAUUUUUGGCUCUUCUGAAAUCUGUGAAACUUACCUAGAGAUACUUAUUGUCCUUAUUUACAACUUUCUAUAAAGAAGACUUAAAGUUUUUAAAAAAUGUGGUUGCUUCUUUGCUUUUCUUUUGAUGUGGAUAUUAGUUUUUGGGAAACUAUCAAACAUAACUUCUAGCAGUUUCACACCAAGAAAUUAAACAGGAAAAAUGAAAAGAGCAAAACUCUUGGGGCCAGCCCAGUGGCAUAGCGGUUAAGUGCGCAUGUUCCGCUUCAGCGGCCCAGGGUUUGCCGGACCGGAUCCCGGGUGCAGACAAGGCACUGCUUGGCAAGCCAUGCUGUGGCAGGUGUCCCACAUAUAAAGAUGGACACAGAUGUUAGCUCAGGGCCAGUCUUCCUCAGCAAAGAGAGGACGAUUGGCAGCAGUUAGCUCAGAGCUAAUCCUCCUCAAAAAAACCCAAGAAAACAAAAAAGAAGAGCAAAAUUCUUUUAUUUGAAAAACAUGCACUUCCCCUGGGAAAGAUGGCAUUAUAAGUCCACGCUCAGAGGCCCUCCCCCGAUUCCCUCCACUCAAGGCUACAAGAGAAAAUUUUAAAAAGAAACAUUUAAAAACCAUAACACUUCCAUAGACCAAAAGUGAAAGGAAACACAAGGCAGUGUGGAGGACUGAGACUCUGGCCUGUGGGGCUCUGGGCCCAGAAACAGCCAAGGUGGCUGGGAAGGAAAGGUGGCCGUCCCUGGGCAGUAAAAGGUCUAAAACUGCCCCAAGAGAGUGGAGAGCAACAACCCAGGGCACCAGGUAAAGUCUCCCACCUCGACAACAGGAAGCUGAGAGAAAAUCAGCAUCUGUAGCAAUUGCCUACGGGUCAAGAAGAGGAUGGACCUGGGUGCUUGCUGCUCCAUCACAGGAUCUGCAGUUCUCAGCAGCGUGGCUGGGCAAGAGCCCUGAGCACCCAGCGUAACACACCUGGCUGCCCAGAGCCCCAGGGGGCUGGAUGGAGGCACCUGAGACCAUGACAUGCAGAAGGGUGGGCACAGAGAGGGAAAGAGACCACAAACCCCUUACAUAAAACGAGCCUGAGAGCCUAAAUUCCAAAACACGUGACUCUAGGAAGAGAGGUGACAGAGUCAGCAAGCAGCAGAUGAAUUCAGCCUGGAUGAAAUGAAAAAAAUAGAGUGGUCUGAAAAGUAAAAUACUACAGCCGACUUUAAAAUAAGUACGUUUAGGAUUCUCAUGGUGGUGAAGAGAAAACAUCCAUAAAAAUUUAAAAGAGAUUAUAAAACAAAAACUGGAAAAAAUUAAGAAUAAGUGGAUUUCAAAAAAUGAGAAGUGAGAAAUGAAGUCAUCAAAAAACAACUCAACAGAUGAGACAAACUCUAAUUGGACCCCAGUGGAGACAGAUUUAGUGAGAGGGAAGACAGUGUGCCCAGAACACAGGCAAAAAUUAGGAAGAGCAAUUUCGAGACAUGGAGAAUAGACUGAGUGGAUUAAACCUUAGAGGAGAUGCAGGGUAAGAGGGUCAAGGUCAGGGCACAGCCCACGGACCACAUUCUAUGUGAAGACAGAACGACUAGAAGUGUCCACAACUGAAGACAUCAGAGCUCAGGUAGAAAGUACACAUCAGGCGCCAAGCAGCAUAACCAACAAUCAAUCCACACUUAGAAUUACUGCAGUGAAGCUUCAGAACCCCAAGAACACUGAAAAGACAGAUUCCCUUCACAGAAAUGGCAAUUUGAUGGACAGCAAGCUUCUCCUUAGCAACGACAGCUUCCAGAGAAUAAUGUCCUCAAAAUUCUGAUAGAAAAUAACUGCCAAUAAGGAGCUCCAUAUCAGCUAAACCAUCAUGCAAGAGUGAGGUCAAAAUAGAGACUUCCUUACAUUCACAGGCAUAGAGGAAUCACUUUCGUGGCUCCCAGUCUCUCCCCUUUGGAAGCAGAACGUCCACAGCGAUCACACUACGCACGUCCCACGCAUCCCACUGCGGACCACCUGGAAGCUGCUUUGAACCUCACAUCCUCCUUGUUUGUGCCUCCAGAAAUUAACAGCCUGUCCUCUUCUGCCUUCCAAAUGCCAUGCAAGAGCCUCUUGGCGGCAAACUUGGACCAAGGUGAAACCAAAAAGCGAUUCAGGGCAGUAUAGCUCGCAAGGUCUCUGCAAUGCAGAGGAGACACUAGGAGGAAGUGCUGGUGGCACGGGGUCGAUCAGAGACCCUCCAGCUCCAGCUGCGUGAGGGCUGUUCACUGAGUGUCCCGUGCAGAUUACAAUCUUCUCUGAAUUUUCUUUUUUUUUUUUAAGAUUGGCACCUGCACUAUCAUCUGUUGCCAAUCCUUUUUUUUUUCCUUCUUCUCCCCAAACCCCCCCAGUACAUAGUUGUAUAUCCUAGUUGUGAGUGCCUCUGGUUGUGCCGUGCCAUGUCCGAGCCCAGGAUCUGAACCGGUGAAGCCCGGGCCACCGAAGUGAGCGUGUGAACUUAACCACUCGGCCACGGGGCCGCCCCCCUGACUUUUCUGAACUUUACUCUUCCUGCUUGCUUGUGGGUAUUUUCUUCUUCCAUUUCAACAGUUCUUUCUUCAGCUCUAAGUAAUUUGCUAGUAAACCAACCCAAUGAGGUUUCCACUUGUUACUGUAUUUUUCAUAUCUAGAACCCAGGUUUUGAUUCCUUGUACAGUUUUCAGCAUCAUUCUUGCUUUUACUUCCUUGAACAUGUUAAGCCUCAUUGUUUCAAAGUGAGUGCUUCAUUAUUUGGGCCUCCCACAGGUCAGUUUCUGUUUUCUGCUGUUUCUCUGAUUUGAUGUGUUUGUGUUGCCCUGUGUGUGACACACAUUAUACAUUCCCAAACCACGGAGAUAAUCUCAGAUCUUAGACGGGAUUUUCUUCCGCCUCUAGAAAGGAUCGCUACCUGCUUCAGGCCAGGAGCUAACAGCACACGUGCCCUAGACCACCUUAACACAUCAGGGUUUCACAUGAUCUGUAGCUGAGCUUCAGUCUCCGUGAGGUUUGGCCUUUCCCGUUCAUGCCUUUCCUAGAAUACAGCGUUUUGGGGCUCCAAAUGGGGGUUUAGCAGCCCCUCCCUCUCCGUCACCCCCGUUCUUCACUGCUAACAGUAUCCCCGAUUUAUUUUCAGGUAUUGCGGUGGCUUUGUGACGUGUCAACAUGUCUAGGCUAACUACUUCUCCACAAUUCUCUUUCCUGCAGGUUUCCUAACUGGGCUACAGAGAGGUAUUGUGCAUGAGAUCCGAGGGGGAAGAAGUGAGGGAGCAGCCGUGAUGUUUCCACACUUGCAAGGGCAGGGCAGGGGCCCAGGUGUGGCUGCAGGUCACACAGGUCGUUUAUGUGCCAGCUCACCUCACUGGGGGGAGACAGGUGUGCAGGCACUCUGCCUUUCCCUGAGUCCUCUUUUAGCUUCUCCAACUCCUGGGCUAGGGGGGUAUGCAAAUCUGUGAUGAAUGGCACCGAGUUCUCCUGCAGGACAUCCACAGGAUGGAUCCACGCUGGCAGUUCCGGCCGGCGUCCAGUUUGCUGCAGGUUCAUCGGUCCUCAUGUCCCCCCCUUUACCUCUACCCUCCCUCCUGACUCCCUGCUCUGCUCCUUCACGCUGCUGAACCAGGCUAGAGCACAGCCUUCAGAGACCGUGCCACCAGCUCCACAUGCAGAAGUCAAAGCCCUGCAACAGCUCCUGUAAAGAGAUCAUCCCUGGUGGCUCUGCGUCCGAUUGAUACAGGUGACCACGACGCUCCACCUGGGUGCUAGGAGAAGGGGGCCCCGCCCCAGGAAAUCCCGACUGGUCUGAGCCACCACAGCGGUCUCACUUCCCUUCUGGUGACUGGUCCAGGAAACUGAAGCAACUCUGGCCAGAUCUUAGAGGCAAGUGCCGGGGGCUUCUGGGAAGGAUGCUUCCCUGUGACAUAAGGAGAGGGCCCCUUCUUCUCCCGCAUGGUGGGGGUCCGUGUGACGACGCAGCUAUAACAACAAUCCCGUGACCCCCAGAGGACCUGGGACUGCCUGCUGCAGAUGGCGAAGUUAAAAGGCGGGAAGGACUUUCAAGUUCUUGACACCGGGUCGGUCAGCCCAAAAUGGAACUUGCCGUGCUUAAGUUUAAGGGGCGGCCUUCCGGAGGGGCCCGCCCAGGCUCCGCCCCGUGCGCAGCCCCGCAGUCUUCUUCCUCGUGCAUCACGACUCUCUGGCUUCGGCACACGUGUCCCCGUUGCCCGGACGCUCCGACUUCUGUGUGAGUGUCACCCACUGCCUGGCAGAGGAGAUGGCAGGCGACAGGCCAGUACUAGGGACCCUGGCGGAGACGCUGCAGCCCCGUCAGGUGCCCC